UACGUAGGGUGCAAGCGUUGUCCGGAAUUAUUGGGCGUAAAGGGCUCGUAGGCGGUCCAUCGCGUCGGGAGUGAAAAGCUGGGGCUCAACCCCAGUCCUGCUUUCGAUACGGGUGGACUAGAGGUAGGCAGGGGAGAACGGAAUUCCUGGUGUAGCGGUGAAAUGCGCAGAUAUCGGAAGGAACAUCAGUGGCGAAAGCGGCUUCCUGGACCCAGAACUGACGAUCAGGCUCGAAAGCGUGGGGAGCAAACAGG
rnacentral:rRNA from 1 species